CUUUAACUUGUCACUACCUAAGAGAAAUCUACACUCUCUUCCACACAGAACCCUUUCUUCAAAAAAAUACAGAAAUUUGCAACACAGGCACCAGUGUAAAGAUGAGAGGGGAAGAGGCUGGCCUGGUAGCACAGCAGGUGACUCUUUCCACACUAGGCAAGAGCCUGGGCAGGGUUCCUGAAGUUCCUCGCAUUUAUCCAGAGCCCUGCAGGAUUUCUCUACUGAGUUGCUUUACUGGCUCCUCAAACUCUGCAGGCCCAGAACAGCACCUGUCUUCCUCACAGAAAACUGGUCCUCUUCUGCCUUCCCUGUUUCAGUGAAUACCACCAGCAUCCAGAUGGUGAUGGAUUUUGCAAGCUGUGCCGCUGGCUCCAUUGCCUGCCUUCACCACAGGAUUACAAGGGAACACAUGGUCAGCAGGCUUGAGUGACCUCUGUCCAGACUCUAGCCUCAAGGACAACUAGGUGAGCUGACAAAUUUAGUCCAUUUGUUUCCUACCAGCCUGG
rnacentral:lncRNA from 1 species